UAAUAUAUUCAUUUUGUAGACGUCUAUACAUAUGUCAUAUAGUUCUUAUUAAGCUUUUCUUUUUGCUGAGCUUGAAAUGAUUUUUUUUAGUGAGAUUGUGCAGCAAGCAAUAGCCUUGUUUAAUGUGAUUGCUGGCUGUGGACUCACUAACAACCAAACUGAAGUUUUGCUUAAGUCUGUUAGUGAUUCAAUUUGGCUUAAUGCUGUGCUUGUGGAAAAUUUUCCCCUAGAGCAGCACCUUAAAUAUGAUGAGCUGGAUGUAAAUCUGCAUCUAGACAGAUAGAAAUUGAACUGUUUCCAGUCAUCUUGCUGUCAUGUCUUGCACCUAGUCGCGUUCUUUGCGUUUAUGCAUGCUUGUAUGUCGCAACUUGCCUUGCAUGAUGCACUUUGUCAAGUAGACCUCGUCUAUGCAAAUGUCAGUCCCAGCAUUCCAGGGAAGGCGUGUUGUGUUUAUCAGAACUGUUGUGGAUAUUUCUUUAUUUAGCCAACACGCCUAUCUGGUUUCACACCCAAGCAUCAGAGAGCAUUUCAUGCAAUAGGUCAUAGUGUGAUGACUGAGGACAUCCUGGGUGACAAGAUCCCUCAAAUUAGGAACUGGGUUAUGGAGUAUGUGGGAAUGAGAUGACAUCACAGCAAACAAAUGAAUGUGUGCCAGCUCUAUAUUGUUCUGACUGUACAGCAAAUUGUAUAUUGUUUUUUUGGCAUUUCAAAAAAAUGAAAAGUGCACUGCCUUCCAGAUUAUAUGUCAGUCUGAAAGGCAGUAUUUUUAGUCUGACACAAGUAACGAAAAUAGACGAUACUUUAAUUAGGCCUGGGAAUCAAACUUAAAUAUGUCUGAAACACAGUGUUCUUUUUUUAUCAGAUAUUCUUAUAUAAAAGACACGGCAACUUUAGACUAGUCCAUGCAUAUGUUUAGGCAACAUAUUAGGUGAAGGAUUUCAUAGAAAAACUCCAAGAGCAUUAUUUUAGAUAUUUCAUUCAGGUGUCUGGUUGGCAAUAGUAUCAAAACAUUUAAAACAAUACCUAGCCCUGGCUACAGCAUAAUCCAGACACACAAACUCAGUCAUUUGUUUAACGUAAAAUAAAAUUAGUUAGGGCCAGUUUCUCUUUUUACACCACAGUAGUCUUCUUAAAUUGGAGUGCCUUUUUAAUGUCGGUCUACAUCUCCACCAAUUUCUCUAAGGGAAUUAGUCAGGAAUACCACACCAGCUGCAGAUCCUCUACAGACAGACACAUGGAAGGGAAGAGAGAAAGAUGGGAAUCUUUUCAUUUGAAACACCCACUCAAAUACAGCUUUCUCUAUCUUCCAUACACCCUCCCUCUCUCUCCCUUUCAACCAAACCAGUUGCUAGUCAUCAGUGUGCUGUGUGUCUAAGUCAUGUGUGUGCUGAAGAGAUGGAGAGGGAAGGAGCGCUUGUGUCAAAAAGUGAUGGCGAUUGCUGUUAUGUCUGAACAUGUGGCCUGGAUGUUUUGUAUUGCAUUUAUGCAUCUUUUUUUUUAUGGAAGUGCAUGCUUCAUCAGAAUUUCCACCCACAUCCGUUUUCACAGAUUAUCUUACUAUUGCAGUGUUGGCAAGUUCUAAUUCCCUCGUUUAUAACAGAGUAAAGCCUAACCAAGUGGUAGAGCUGGGAGAAUAUGAUGACACGAGGUAGGCACGGCACUUUAGGAUUACUGGUUUGCUCACUCACAGUCUCUCUCUCGCUCAUUUCCUUCUCUUUUACUUAUGAGCUCAAAGGCUAUACAUGCACAGUUUAAAGGAAGAGAGUGGAGGAGGAAGACACACUGCUGCAAUGCAGGAAAGGCAGUGACAAAAAUGUAGCCUAAAUUUAAUAAUAAACCAGGUUGGCAGUUAAAGUUAUACAAGCCAAUCCUGAAGGCAGAGCUGAUCUAAAGGCAGACAUAACUUUACUGGUAGGGUUAAACCUUAUAUGGGCAAAGCCAAAUACCUAAAUCCAUAAGUUUCUAUGUAAUGUUACACUGUAGUUCAGCGUAAAGGUUAGAGUGAAAAAGCUAGUAUCGUCAAAACUAGCCUACCGCUCUGGCUAUCGACUGAAAUAAUGCGGUCUUGCCAUGUUAAGAUAUAGUAUAAGUUUCAGUAGUUAUACUAACCUAUAGUUGUGUAAUGUGAAGGUAAUCUUGUUAGAUAGCCUGGUGAUUUAUUUAUUUAUUACCAAUGAAUUAAAAGUUAGAUAUAUUUUGUAUUAAUAUUUCCCACCACGGUGCUUUUAUUUGUCAUUCAGGAUUGCCAGUUGCUUGUACAGAGGCAUUAAUUAAGUGAGAGUUGAGCGUGAUGUAGAGAGACAAAAUGAG